rnacentral:tRNA from 1 species
GGGAUUGUGGCUCAGUGGUAAAGCACUUGCCUAGCAUGUGUGAGGCCCUGGGUUCAAUCCUCAGCACCACCU